UUUAAAUGAGAGUUUGAUCCUGGCUCAGGACGAACGCUGGCGGCGUGCCUAACACAUGCAAGUCGAGCGAAGUUUUCAAAGCAGAUUUCUUCGGAAU
rnacentral:rRNA from 1 species